UGCUUCGGGGAUAGGAUUUAUCGGACUGAAUAUAGGAAGCUACAGAUAAGCUUGUCUGACAGGCUUCCUUUUAUAUCCCUGACAUGCAGUUUAUCCCACUCUGAACUAGACAUUUGCUCUCCAGAGCAAAAUAAAGGUCCAAGGUUUGAUUUCUUUUUUUCCCCUUUCUUUCUUUUUCUCAGCUGUCAAGGGAUAAAGCUGAACUGAGGCGGGGAAAGGAGCAUUUAUUCCCAGUGGGUAAAGAGAGGAAGGCUGAAAUGAAGGAUUUUCUCCAAUGAUAGCACUCCCAGAGCAGCAAACCCCACCUCUGAGUUUCCAGUAAAUCUGCAGGGAGUACAAAGCAAACCAAUCAAGAAAUGUCAAGGUGUAUUUGCUGUCCUACUAACCUGGUGCCUCAUUCCCUCUCUGGCACAUGCUGCUGGGACACAAAGGUGCAUCCCAAUGCUGUGUGUCGGGGAGGGAGCAUGGCUGUGAGCCCAGCUGGGGCAAGGUGACCAAAUGGCUCCCAACUCCUGCUCUCCAGCCAUCACAGAAAGGGGGUGCUGGAGGUGAGCUGCCUGUUUUGGGAACAGUGGUGCUUGGGGUCUGUGCCAGUCCUUUGUACCGUGCUCUCAACGAGGCAGAAAUCCAACUGUAAAGAGGACCUCACACACACUUAUCUGCAGCUGAAGCCAAGCAGCUUAUGUUAGAGAUCACUUAGACUUGACUGCUGUCAAAUACUGGCUGCAAGUGAGAUGGGUUUCCUCAGUGCCAUAUUUUACUUGGUGGCACAUCUAGAACUUUUGGAAAGAGCUUUCUGAAAUAAGCUCAUCUUCAAGUUUUUUGCAGGUGUCUUUUUUACUUUUUUUUUUUUUUUCUUCUUCUUAUAAAGAGAAUUGGGCAAUGACGGAAUUUUCAUGAAAGUUACCUCUUAUUCUCUUGCUUCAUAUCCCAAUGAACUAUAAAGGAAAUGCUGAUAAAUUUGGUAUAUUCCCCAUCUAAUGUUCCUCUGUGCUGUCCUCAGAGCAUGUCCUGCCCCUAGUUGCUCUGUUAACUUGUCCCUGCUUAUAACACUCCGUACAUAAAACACAACUGGGCGCUUUUCGCUCUGAUUAAAAUCAUGCUGUGCAAUAGGAAAUACAAAUUAGCUCUGGUCUUUGGGCUCCUGACAAGUUUCCAGUGCCGCUUUCAACACCACAGAGAUUGUGUAACUCCAUCUGUGCGUGCUCUGUGUGGUGACGUCUCCCCCUCCGUCAUGAGCUGGGCUGGCUGCCACUCAUCCAGGUUCAGCUAUUAAUACUUCAAGCAGCUUUUAGAACUGAAGGAGGAAGAGAUGUUGCCAGCAGCUGGGUGAAAUGCAGAAACCAGCUUUUCCUUGCUAGGGGACUGUGUGGGAAGGGUUAAAAGAAGAAGGAUUUCCUAGGUAAUUCCCUCAGUCUUGAUGUUUGUGCAAAUACCUCCCUCUUCAAUGAAUGAUUGAGGAACUCAGCACAGGAGAGCCAAUGCUUCAGUACAAGAUUAACCCCUGAAGGAAGAGCACAGUAGCCUCUUAUUCAAACUAGAGCUUAAGUUUGUGCUGCCAUGAAGCGCACGGCACUUUCCUGCCUUCUCCAGGGAUUCAAGCCAGGCACACUGUGUUACAUCAUUUCAGCGUUGCUCACAGAAGGGCUGAGGCUCCAGCUAUCGUGUCAUGUUUUCAGCAGAAACCUGUAAGUCUCGGCGACUUCCUCUGAGGAUGCUGAAGCAAACAGUGCCCAGACCUGUGAGUGAACAAGUUGCAAAUGACAUCGCCGGUUUGAAACGGUGCGUGGGCACGACGUGGGCAAAUGUUCCCUGCACUGGGUGUUUUCUAAAGGUCUCUGAAGCAUGAGGCAUGACUGAAUGACUUCUGUUUUCUUUAAAUGAUGAGUGGGAGAAUUUUGAAUCGUUGGUCUGCUUUUAUUUUUGUUAAACGUGUGUGGGCUGGCAACAUGACUCAGUAUUUUCUCUGCAGAUAAAAAGAUCAUACUGCCAAUUCUGGGUAUAUUUCUGACAGCUUCCUACAGAGAACUGGAACACUUUUUCAGUCCAGAGCUUUGCUUUUCGGUAGCCUUGAGCCUAUUGAUGUGAAAAUAAGUGAUUUUAAAAAUGAGUGUUUUGCCAAAAUGUACAUAAAUACACUGAAGAAAUGACCAAACAUGGGGAAAGUCCCUCUACCCCCAUGUUUUCCCAACAGUUUAUCUGAUUUUUUCACGGCCAUCAAUGUCUGAUUUUUCUUUCUGAUUCUCCCUAGCCUCAGUUGCUGCUGGGCCAUCUCUUUGACUGCUGGAUAUCAUCUCUGGUGUUUAUUUAGCCAUCCAUGUCCUGCUGGGUGACAGCCACCAUCCUGUGACUGAUGGCUGUGAGUUGUCCCCACCUCCAAAGAGACAAGUAGGCAUAUUUGUGGGUACAUGUAUGUAGUUCAGGCAGAAGUCCCCAAAAACUCCCCUUUCUCCCUUCUGGCAACCUCCCUGCCCCGCUCUCCCUUCUUCAUCCUCCCUUUAUGCCAUGUACAGUGUAUGGUGUGUGCGCUGGGAGAUACACAAAGCCAGCCAUGGGCUUUGGAUGCUUUCAUUGUGCGACAAUGAGUGCCCUCUUCUCCCAUGCCCUCUUCUCCACUAAUGUGCAGUGUGCUGGUGGUUAUGUCUUUGAUAAGAACAGGUUUCUUGCUAAGACCCCCACCUGUAAUCAUAACUCAACAUUCUAGAGCUACCAAUAAACCACUUUUCCCUGCUGAUAGCAGCCCUCAGCCCCGUGGACCUUGCUGAAGGUCUGUGAAUGGCUAGAGAAUAACAGACUAACAGAUGAAAGAUGUUGCACAGCAAAGGUUAUCUGUGAAGAUGACGUGCCUGUAGAUUCCUUCUGUAGAGUGUGCAGAGUGAAAUGAAUUCCAUGCACUCUGCUUAUUUGAUUGCUAACUUCAACCACAGAAGAAUUCCCACAUUCAGUCCCUAGGAAUGGCCUUGGCUAAUGUGACCUGUACUUAGCACCAUGACCCAAACCCCACUGUGAUCCUGACUCUAUACUGGCCCAUACAACAGUGAGCUGUACCUGACCCAUACAUGCACAAGCAUGUAUUACAGUACUAGGCAACUGUAUCAUCUUCCUAUCAUUCCAGUUCCUCAGUCCCAAGAUCUUCUUCCUGUUCUUGGUGUUUUUUGCACCUUCCACUGUCCACCCAUGGCAAUACUUCACCCCGAGCUUAAGGCUGAGCACAUCCAUCAUCCCUACAGACCUCAUCAGAAGCCACUUGAAGUGGUUGACUCAAGUGCCUUUGCACGUUUAUCUCAUAAUGAUAAGAAACAGGUGGCAGGCCUUAUAGUUUCUCCACAAUCUUCACAUUAUUCAGGAAUAAUCCUACACUUUAAGCCCUUUUUACCCCACAGCCUGAUUCUAGCCUUAAGGAUAAACUAUCAGCCAGCAUUCCUUGAAACACAAGCAGAAGCACUCUGCCUUACUGAGUACCAGCACUCAGGCUUGCCCUGAAGAGCAAGAGGUGGUGCUCUUUAGUCCUUGGUGUCCCAAUCUCUAACCCUGACUUCAGAAUCUGAAGAGCUGAUGCUCUUUACUUACAGUCCUGUGCCUCUGAGUGCCAGAGUCACUCACCCCUGCCAGCCCCAGCCCAGACUGUGUUUCUAAUGGUUUUGCUGGAAUCUAGGCACGGAGAUGGAAGCAGCCACUGGGACUUGCUUGGUGUACAAACUGUAAGUUGUGUUUUUCAGAGGUUGUGCUUGAUGGGGCAGAGCAUGUUUUGGUGGAUUUUAGGGUGGAAAGAUUAUGUUUGGGCAUGGCUUGAAGGACUAACUGGCUUGCUCAGCUGCUAAGGGGAUGGUAGGCUGGGUACAAAAUGGGGCAUGGGGGACUGUAACAGUGUCUGUACAUCAGUGAGUGAGCAGGGAGUCAUGGUGUGUGGCACUGAUCACUCUCCUUUCCUAAAACAAGCUUCACUGUUCCUGUCUUCUUACUUCUCACUGCCCUUCCACUGGUUCUUCACCACUGUCUCCAGCUUUUUUCCUCCAGCCUAUGGAUUUCCAGAGCUACCUGCUGCUCUAGAGUUGGUUCUCCAGCCCUCCCACGCCCUGUGUCAUUGCUGUCUUGCCUGCUUUUGGCAGCCAGAGCUCAUCCAGAGGCCGAGCAUAUGAACCCUAUGUUGCCUAUUAGAAGGCGGUCUGCUGACUGUAUUUCACGUUGGUGUGUCUUGCUGGUUAGGAGACAAGAAUGGAGAGUGCUACAGCCCCAGGUGUCUUCAGGUGUCAUUGUGUUGCUGUGAAUAAUGAGCUUGCUUCUGAAGAUUUUUGGGGAUUGGCCUUUAAACUUGCUUCACUUAUUUACACUGAAGGUAGGUAUUGGAUUUUUUUUUAUUUCUGAACUGCAUUUAAUAAGACUGUCAUAGAAAAGCUCUCAUAUUUCUGGGAAGAAUACUUAUUAAAAGAGGUUUUGUAAUUGUUAUGGUGUGCGGUCCUCAGCUUUCCUGAACUUUUGCUGUGUUACAUUCAAAUAUAGUCUAGUGUGAGAAGCUUGGACUUCGAACUUUGAAAGAAAGCUUGGAAAGAGAAAAGUUAACAGCAGCCAAUUUGGAUCAAGUCAUCACUCCAGCUGGUAACUGCAGCUUCCAGAUAAGACUGACCAUGGGACAAUGUAAGAAACACCCAAUUAAGGAGCAAGGAAUUGUCCAUUUUCAGAGUGGCUACACACACCAACACUUUGUUGCACAGACACAGAAUAACAACUCUAACUGGAACAGUUCUCUUGGUAGUCGUUACACUGCCUAUAAUUGUUUCUGCAAGAGUUUGCAGGCCUUACCAUCCUGGGUGUACCUUUGAAUCAGAGUAAUAAAGGGAAACACUAUUUUUAAUCAGA